CCUUUUAUCAACCUUUGAAUGGAACUAGGUAUUACUCUUUGUGAAUAUGAAGUCAAAAUUAAUAAUUAAUAAAGGCAAAAUAUACCUUUUAUGUUUAUUCACAGUAUUGUAAUUAACAAUCACCCGCAGUUGAUUUCAUGACCGGUGGGCUUUCAGCAAAUAAACAAUCAGAAGGAAUCAAUAAGAAUAUAACCCGUUGAGUUCAACAUCCUCCAAUAAUAUAAUCAUGCCUCGAUUGGAAUUAGUACUACAAUAUAUAACAUCUUCUUUUUGUAGUUUAUUUAUUUAUAUGUGUCUAUAUGGUUUUCCAUGAAAAUCCAAAAGGGCCUCGAAGUGUUGGAGCUUGGAUCUGGGGGGUGCAUUGGUGAGCCAUCCCUUCUCCCUCACUGGCUUCUCUAUUAUUUUUGUGCAUAUCAUGCCUUGAUUUGUGCUCAGUUGGUGUGAAAUGUGAAAGCAAGCUAUGUGUGCGAUCUAUUGCCCGUUAUCAUGUGUCACAAACUACUACAAAUGCAUAUUAAUGCCCCUUUAUUAUAUAUGUCUACUGCCUUUUACAUUCCUAGGGCUAAGCCACUACUCAUUCCAGUAUACUGAAUUGCUAUUGUCUGCACUUCUAUUGUGUUUUGUUAUACCUUUUAGACAUGCACCGUAUGCCAUAGAUUGGUAUGACAUUGAUAUGUGCGAAGAGAUGUGAUGUAUCUUGAUGUUUUUAUUGAACCAUUAUCAUUCUGGGUGCAUAACGAUUGUAUGGCACUGUCAUUUCUUUUAUAUCACUGUUUGCAUCACCAGGUGUUUACGCUAAAACAAGUCGGUUGCUGCAAGUCUUGCAAGAAAUUUGGGUGACAAGGCGUCUGGGCGGAACUAUCUAUCCAUCUAUCUAUCUAUCUAAUAUAGUUUACUACUAUACCAUGUAAAAUCAGUGUCUCCACUACCACUAUGGCUUGGUGUGGUCAUGCUAUGAUGUUAGUGGACACGAAUGUUUAGUGAUAUGUUGAUUCAGGAAAUUCGCAUUCGGUUCAGCAUGUAGUGUUAGGCUCUAUGCUCUUAGGAGAUGAUGUUCUGUGAAUUUUUUUGCAACUGUUAUUGCCACAAAAUUGAAAUUUGGUAUUGACAUUAUGAAGAUUACCUUAAGUGUGAAAGAUACUGAGCAUGGACCUGUGUUCUUAUUUAUAGCUCUAACUGCAUGUACCAUAUGGAUAAAAAAUGUCUUAUCAUUUCUAAUGAAAUUAUAAGAUUUCUUGAUCUUCAAUAAUGAUGUGUACAUAAAUAUCACUAAACUCG
rnacentral:lncRNA from 1 species